rnacentral:rRNA from 1 species
UACGGAGGUCCCAAGCGUUGUUCGGAAUUACUGGGCGUAAAGGGAGCGCGGGCGGACAGGUCAGUCUAAAGUGGAAUCCCGGGGCUCAACCUCGGAACUGCUUCGGAUACUGCCUGUCUUGAGUUCGUGAGAGGAAAGCGGAAUUCAGGGUGUAGCGGUGAAAUGCUUAGAUAUCCUGAGGAACACCGAUGGCGAAAGCAGCUUUCUGGCGCGAUACUGACGCUGAGGCUCGAAAGCGUGGGGAGCGAACGGG